GGUUGGCUACAUUGCGAUUUCUAAAAUAUGGCAAAAACAGCUACGGUUCUCGAUCAAGGACCUUUAGCACCAUCUGGUCGAUGGAUUUGGAGAGAUGAAUCCAACUGUCUGGAGCUAGUAAGGUGGGGAAAAACAAGAAAAAAAGAAGAGGAAUAAAGGGUACAGAUGCUGGAAA